rnacentral:rRNA from 1 species
UACGUAGGGUGCGAGCGUUAAUCGGAAUUACUGGGCGUAAAGUGUGCGCAGGCGGCGCCGCAAGUCGAGUGUGAAAGCCCCGGGCUUAACUUGGGAAUUGCGCUCGAAACUAUGGUGCUGGAGUGUGGCAGAGGAAGGUGGAAUUCCACGUGUAGCGGUGAAAUGCGUAGAGAUGUGGAGGAACACCGAUGGCGAAGGCAGCCCUUCUGGGCCAACACUGACGCUCAUGCACGAAAGCGUGGGGAGCAAACAGG